rnacentral:rRNA from 1 species
GAUGAACGCUGGCGGCGUGCCUAAUACAUGCAAGUCGAGCGAACGGACGAUAAGCUUGCUUCUCUGAUGUUAGCGGCGGACGGGUGAGUAACACGUGUAUAACCUACCUAUAAGACUGGGAUAACUUCGGGAAACCGGAGCUAAUACCGGAUAAUAUUUUGAACCGCAUUGUUCAAAAGUGAAAGACGGUCUUGCUGUCACUUCUAGAUGGAUCCGCGCUGCAUUAGCUAGUUGUUAGGGUAACGGCUUACCAAGGCAACGAUGCAUAGACGACCUGAGAGGGUGAUAGGCGACACGGGAAGUGGGACGCGGUCAAGGGUCCUACGAGAGGGAGCAGUAGGGAAUGUUCGGCAAUGGGCGAAAGCCUGACGGAGCGACGCCGCGUGAGUGAUGGAGGUCUUCGGAUCGUAAAACUCUGUUAUGGGGGAAAAACAUAUGUGUAAGUAACUGUGCACAGCUUGACGGUAACUAAUAAGAAAGCAACGGCUAACUACGUG